GAUACGCGAGGAACUUACCUGGGCUCGAACGUAAGAUGACUGUAGGUGAAAGCUUACAUCUCUUCGGAGCAUUUUACGAGGUGCUGCAUGGUUGUCGUCAGCUCGUGCCGUGAGGUGUCGGGUUAAGUCCCAUAACGAGCGCAACCCCUACCUUUAGUUGCCAUCAGGUUAAGCUGGGGACUCUAAAGGAACUGCCUACGCAAGUAGUGAGGAAGGCGGGGAUGACGUCAAAUCAGCACGGCCCUUACGUCCAGGGCUACACACGUGCUACAAUGGCCGAUACAGAGGGCAGCUACCUGGUGACAGGAUGCAAAUCUCCAAAGUCGGUCUCAGUUCGGAUCGGAGUCUGCAACCCGACUCCGUGAAGUUGGAUUCGCUAGUAAUCGCGCAUCAGCCAUGGCGCGGUGAAUACGUUCCCGGGCCUU
rnacentral:rRNA from 1 species